rnacentral:rRNA from 1 species
GACGAACGCUGGCGGCGCGCUUAACACAUGCAAGUCGAACGGAAAGGCCUGCUUUCCCUUGUGGAUUGCGGGUACUCGAGUGGCGAACGGGUGAGUAACACGUGAGUGAUCUGCCCCCAACUUGGGUAUAAGCCUGGGAAACUGGGUCUAAUUCCCGAUAGGACUGCAGGGUGGUGCCUGUGGUGGAAAACGAUUUUCUAGUGGUUGGGGAUGAGCUCGCGGCCUAUCAGCUUGUUGGUGGGGUAAUGGCCUACCAAGGCGGCGACGGGUAGCCGGCCUGAGAGGGGGGACGGCCACAGUGGGAAUGAGAUACGGCCCAGACUCCUACGGGAGGCAGCAGUGGGGAAUAUUGCACAAGGGGCGGAAGCCUGAUGCAGCGACGCCGCGUGGGGGAUGACGGCCUUCGGGUUGUAAACUCCUUUCGACCGCGAGGAAGCCACCUGGUUGGAAGGGUGGUGACGGUAGUGGUAGAAGAAGCACCGGCUAACUACGUG